GACGAACGCUGGCGGCGUGCUUAACACAUGCAAGUCGAACGGAAAGGCCCUGCUUUUGUGGGGUGCUCGAGUGGCGAACGGGUGAGUAACACGUGAGUAACCUGCCCUUGACUUUGGGAUAACUUCAGGAAACUGGGGCUAAUACCGGAUAGGAGCUCCUGCUGCAUGGUGGGGGUUGGAAAGUUUCGGCGGUUGGGGAUGGACUCGCGGCUUAUCAGCUUGUUGGUGGGGUAGUGGCUUACCAAGGCUUUGACGGGUAGCCGGCCUGAGAGGGUGACCGGCCACAUUGGGACUGAGAUACGGCCCAGACUCCUACGGGAGGCAGCGGUGGGGAAUAUUGCACAAUGGGCGGAAGCCUGAUGCAGCAACGCCGCGUGCGGGAUGACGGCCUUCGGGUUGUAAACCGCUUUCGCAUGUGACGAAGCGUGAGUGACGGUAAUGGGUAAAGAAGCACCGGCUAACUACGUG
rnacentral:rRNA from 1 species